UACAGAGGCCUCGAGCGUUAGGCGGAAUCACUGGGCUUAAAGCGUGUGUAGGCGGACUUCUAAGUGCCUUGUGAAAUCCCACGGCUCACCCGUGGAACUGCUGGGCAUACUGGGAGUCUUGAGCCACCUAGGGGCGAGCGGAACAAAUGGUGGAGCGGUGAAAUGCGUAGAUAUCAAGAGGAACGCCAAUGGUGAAAACAGCUCGCUGGGGGUGUGCUGACGCUGAGACACGAAAGCCAGGGGAGCAAACGGG
rnacentral:rRNA from 1 species